rnacentral:rRNA from 1 species
CCUACGGGCGGCUGCAGUGGGGAAUAUUGGACAAUGGGCGCAAGCCUGAUCCAGCCAUGCCGCGUGUGUGAAGAAGGCCUUUUGGUUGUAAAGCACUUUAAGCGAGGAGGAGGCUACUUGGAUUAAUACUCUAGGAUAGUGGACGUUACUCGCAGAAUAAGCACCGGCUAACUCUGUGCCAGCAGCCGCGGUAAUACAGAGGGUGCAAGCGUUAAUCGGAUUUACUGGGCGCAAAGCGUGCGUAGGCGGCCUCUUAAGUCGGAUGUGAAAUCCCUGAGCUUAACUUAGGAAUUGCAUUCGAUACUGGGAAGCUAGAGUAUGGGAGAGGAUGGUAGAAUUCCAGGUGUAGCGGUGAAAUGCGUAGAGAUCUGGAGGAAUACCGAUGGCGAAGGCAGCCAUCUGGCCUAAUACUGACGCUGAGGUACGAAAGCAUGGGGAGCAAACAGGAUUAGAUACCCCUGUAGUC